ACUCCUACGGGAGGCAGCAGUGGGGAAUAUUGCACAAUGGGCGCAAGCCUGAUGCAGCCAUGCCGCGUGUGUGAAGAAGGCCUUCGGGUUGUAAAGCACUUUCAGUCGUGAGGAAGGUAGUGUAGUUAAUAGCUGCAUUAUUUGACGUUAGCGACAGAAGANGCAAGACCCGGGACCCGCUAAAGCCUUCCCGGUUGGCCCAGGCCUAAGGCCCGGCCGGGUGAAUCACGGGAGGGUAGCGAGCGGUUAAUCGGAAUUACUGGGCGUAAAGCGCAUGCAGGUGGUUUGUUAAGUCAGAGUGUGAAAGCCCGGGGCUCAACCUCGGAAUUGCAUUUGAAACGUGGCAGACU
rnacentral:rRNA from 1 species